GAGAGAGAGAGAGAGAGAUUGUUUAUUAUUCAUUCUAAUGUAAAAAAAAAAAAUCGGAAAAAAUCAUUUUAGUAAUAAACAAAAUAUGGAAAAUAUCCUGAUUAAUCUUCCCGCGAUAUGAUUGACGUUGUAACUCAGUUUUGAGCACCUGUAAACGUCAUCACAAUCUGAACACCAUGGAACAUUUCUCCGUCAUUCCAUGAGGAAUAAUUCAAGGAUUGAGGACGUAUAUAUUACAUUUUACCGGUGUAGUAUAAUGAAAUCAUCAUAUUGAUGAAAACGUUUACCCACAGUAAUAUCCCACCUGCAUCGAAAUGCUUUUAACAUGGUUUGUUUGCUUUUUUCAAUCUACUUAUAUAGGCUGUCUCAGAAUACUAGAAAAAACUUUUAUGAAUAGGUUGACCUUGCCUGAAUUUUUAUCGACAUGUUUUUAUUUGUUUUUAGCUUUUAAACACACAAACAUUUUAUGAUAAAUUAGAUGUAUUUUUUUUUCAUAAAUCGAGUUCUCGAAAGUAUUGAAAUUUGGAAUAUGUGAUAGUUCGAUUUUCCUGCUGAAUAUGUAUGUGUUGUAAGUGCUCUAUACAGUCGAACUCGUGGUAUUGGCAGUGUAAACAAAAUCUGCGAUACCCAUGACAAGACUAUUGUAUAUCAUAAUAGAUGCUGCUAAUUUCCAGUUAUCCACUUUACUGCAAAAUCGACACUUUGUUGAAAACUGAAUGUGUGUAACCAAAACGUCCAAGUUGUGAUGUCAUGGGACUUCUUACUAUGGGAACGGUCACAGAAGCAGUUCAUGCGACUUUCUUGGCAGGAAAUGACGUCAUUGAUUAGACUCAUCGAUAGGGUUAUUACAUUACAUUGACACAUAUCUGUGAUAUAAUUAUGUAAAUGCUAUUGGUGGAUAAUUUUGUAAUUUUUGCUAUGACUUCAUUUCGUAAGCUUAUGCAAUGACACUGCCUCCGUCAUGCUGCUAGUUUAGAAUCUCUCGUUCAUGGAUCCUAACCAAUUUGGCCUUGAACAUUUAAGUUUGAUAGGCACUGGAUUUUGUUUGAUUAAAGAUAACAUUUGAGUGUGAAUAGACGAACUACGGUUCUGAACUUUCCCUUUGUUUUGUGUUGUCAUAACUACCACGAUAUCCUGGCAUAUUCUCGAAGUAUGUAGUAUCGGACCAUUGGACCUCUUGUAUUUUUAUUUGCAAAUUUUGCUGCUUUAGAAUCAAAUGAAUGUACUUAAAUCGCACGAAGAGAAGUGUCAGCUAUCAUUUUAAAGAUGUGUACAUUAUAUGAUUUUUCUUCUUUUAAUCAUUGUAUACAGAUCAUCGAAUUCAUAUUUAUAAAUAACAUAUAAUUAUUCAUUUUGAUAAGAUAUCCGUAAUUAUGAAUAUAAUAAGGUAUAUUACCUAUUGAUUUAUUUUCAAAGCAUCAUGCUUGUGUUCUUCAUUUUGCGAACUUACCUCACCAUACAUAUUCGCGAAAUUAUGAUUUCACGAACGCUGGUCUGGUCUAGAAAUUUCUUUAUAUUCGCGAAUGAUGAGAAAGCUGAGCAAUGAACUUUGCCAUAGACCUUUAUCGGUAAUCGAUAGCUUAUUUUCGUACAAAAAAUAGAAUGGAUUUUAAUUCCCGAUUGAUUCUACUCGCGUAUCAACGCGAAAAUAAAUCACACGCGAAAUAUAGGUAUUUUACAGUAAGAACACUUUGGAUAAAUGUCCUUUUUUAUCUACUAUUUGUUGUUUGAUGUGAUGAAUACUUUACAGUUGUUACUGUUUAUUACUAUUAUUUACUAUUUAUGCUGGUGCUAAAUAUGUAGUCAUAUUUGCUUAUUGAAAUUAUUCUUUUUAUUCUUUAUGUAUAUAUUCCUAAAUGCGCUUAUUCAUUCCAAAUGACAAUUUGAUACAUAAAUAUAUGUAUACCGCUAUAUUAUAAUUAUUUAAACAAUAUCUUACUGCGACCAUCAUUACUUUCAUAAUUAGCUGCAAGGUUAAUAUAAUUUAUUUAAAUUUUUGCCUAAGAUGUCGUUUGCGUCUUUUGUAAGAGAUACGAUCUGUCCCUUACAAUAAGACCAGGUUUCUACCUCCAACUCAUGGUUAAAGUUUUGGAAAUGGCUUACUAUCCACUAACGAAGUUGACAUAUUUUUUAUUCUCCUCAUAACAGUUGCUAAGUGGUCUAGCAUUAAUUUUCAUUUAUUAAUUUGUUUUGAACCUUACUUCAUAGUAACUUAAUAUCACAAAAAUGAAAUUUACAUCUUGUGAAUCUUAUUAUCUCUCCAAAAUCUGCAGCUGGAAAAUUUCUUCAAAUUAUUAUUUUUUAUGUUGUAUCAUUUUGUAAUGCUGCCCCGGGUUACUAAGAUCAAAACACAUUAUAGUUGCGUCUCGGUCAAAAGUACACCGUCUUCAUAAGGAAACCACCAUUCAAACUCAAAAUCGAUUUAACGAGGGGAAAAUAUAAACAAAAGCAACAAAGCAUACCGAAAUCAUAAACCAUGAUCAAAAUUCAAAACGAUUGAAUGGGGGCAAAAUAAACAUAAUCUUUGCAUUAAGACUCCUGAAAAUUACAAGAAGAAUAGAAGUAGUUGCCCCGGAAGAGUUUGCGUCUUCUGGUUAGACAUUAGCCUAAUGGUUAAGCUGAAAUUUGACUUGACAGGAUGUAUGUCUUGUGCUGGAUGCCUGUGUGGUUAAGUCUGUUAACGGGAAGGUCAUACCAAUGGGUAAAAGUUUAUUUUUGGAUAAAAUUGUUACCCAUGCUAAAUAUCUUUAACUAUUGAAAUGAGAUAUUCUACUUGAGUUUGAUGUGAAUCAAGACAUUGAAACCAUAUUUUGGGUUAUUUUCGAUUUCAAACUCUGGUUUGUUCAAAUAGAAAUCUGGCUACUCCAAAGGAUGUAUUCUCACUACGUUACGUUCUGACAAUAUGACAUUCAUCUGUUUUGUUAUAUUUGUCACAUAUGUGAAGGCGCAUAAUUAUGUACAUCAAAAUGUAUCUUAUUUUGUCAAAUAAUGUGUUUCUUAUUAAUUAUGUAUACAUAAUUCCAUUCAAGAGAUCGCCGAUAUCGUUUAUAGCACAAUUUUAUAUAAAAUAUCUAGUUAUGUAGAUCAAGAUUAAUUGAAUUAUCAUAUUAAAAACCUUUACAAUUUUACAUAGCAAUGAAUACCAACGUCAAUACAAAAUUAUACUACUUAUAUUAAACGACUAUAACUGUAAAAUCACGGUAGGAAAAUUUUAUCAGUCGUAACAUUUUUCAAACAUAUAUGUCUUAAAACGAAGAAUUUUACUUAAUAAGAAAAAUUAAAAAGGGUCCUCAACCAUGUAUUAUAAAUACCUAAACUAGAACAGAACUAUAACAUUUCAAUUCGGUAGGUCCUGAGAGAAAAAGAAUAUUUUAAUCCGUAAACAGAUAUCUAUAGAAUUUCAUAUUCAUACGAAAAAACAUUCGUUUAAUGAGUAUGAAAUCUACCGUUAUGGUCGCUUUAAUGAGUAUGAAAUCUACAGUUAUGGUCGCUUUAAUGAGUAUGAAAUCUACAGUUAUAGUCGCUUUAAUGAGUAUGAAAUCUACAGUUAUAGUCGCUUUAAUGAGUAUGAAAUAUACAGUCACGGUCGCGUGUAUGAUUAAAUCCAAUGCAUAAUUGUACAUCCACGUCAUUUGUUAUAUGUAAAUUAAUAAUUUCAAUGAUUAAAUUCAAUAAUCGUGUAAUUGAAUGUAAGCAGUCAGUAAAAAUGAAAUAUGUUUAAGUGUGGGUAAUGCUGAACAUCAAACCAAGUGUGUUCAUCGUUGUCAUAAUUUGUACCCCAUCCUUCUUGCUACAAUAUCAAUGGCACAUUUUCUUAAUUAUGUAUAACAUUUGAUAUUUUUCAAUAUAAUUUUGUUGCUACACACUACAUUAAGUAGAUGUACAUAUGAUCUUAAUAUAUAUAAUCAAUGAUAUUUAUUAUUUCCAGAACGAGUUUAUCCGCCAUCAAUAAUUAAUUGCUUUUUAACAACUAUAUGAUUAUACCUACAUGUAUAUAUAGAUAUAUAUAAUAAAAUUGUUAGGAAUGCCUGAUCCCUUCGGACGAAGUAAUAUACAAUGAAAAACAAAAAACUCGACAACACAACUUUUCAUCGCAUUUUUUGUGACGUAACCAGUUAUGACGUCACUUUACUAGCGAUAGAAUAAACAUUUGCUUCAUCAUUGUCACACAAAAAAUCUAUUGUCGAGGUUAAGAUCAUUGUAUUGUGUGUAGGACAAAAAUGAUAGAUAUAUCUAAAGUAAGUAAGAUGUAAUGGUCCAAUAUAGGUACUGGGGCCUUACAGGAUAAACAGACCUCCGCUUGAUGUGUAUUACUAAAUUAACAUACAUGAUCAAUGAAGUGAUAACAACAGUACAGACAAGUAAAUUGACGAAUUUUCGAGGUAAUUCGCCCAUCUAUCCGGGCACAAGUAAAUACAAAUGAUCACAUACAGACAUAGAACAUGGAACAGUUACAUUAAUUUAUUAGAUAAACUACAAACAAUAUAGAUUUUCUUGGUUAUUUUUAUCAUUUCCCCCUUCGGUCGAUAACUAAUUCGCCGAAGGCAUACUGUUAUUUAGUAACCAUGCAAUGUCGCCAAUGAGCAUGCGCUGAACCUGUUUUCACUACAUCUCGUCAUCAAUCACUGAAUCACAGGGAUGACAUCAAUCUAAGUCUUGAGUGACGUAUGUGAUGUAUAAACAAAACACUCGCAGUCAAAUCACCAGCCAGAUUAUGAAGUUUUAGUGUAUUUCUUGUAAUCAAAGUUUGUAUUGACGUUUAAGUGUAAAAGUUGUAUCAUUGUAAUUUCGAUAUCUUUUUUCAUAUCAAGCUUUGAUACAUAUCAGUCCUCGCGCCCGAGCGCCAAAUAAAUUAUAGGGCUCUGUGAUUGGAACUGACCAUGUAAUGUAAAUGGGACAAGACUAUGUGUUACAAAUGCACAUAUGUGUGAUGUGAUAUAGGUAUGAACAUUUUAUGUGUGGCGUGUGUAUUAAGUGUUGGGGAUAACUGUGAUCUCUUUAAGAAUGAAAUCCAGAAUAUGAGUCGAUUAAAAAGUAUACUAGUA